UACGUAGGUGGCAAGCGUUGUCCGGAUUUAUUGGGUUUAAAGGGUGCGUAGGCGGUUGUUUAAGUCAGUGGUGAAAGCCGAUCGCUUAACGAUCGAACUGCCAUUGAUACUGAAUAGCUUGAGUACAGAUGAGGUAGGCGGAAUUGACAGUGUAGCGGUGAAAUGCAUAGAUAUUGUCAAGAACACCGAUUGCGAAGGCAGCUUACUAAAGUGUCACUGACGCUGAGGCACGAAAGUGCGGGGAUCAAACAGG
rnacentral:rRNA from 1 species